UUUUUUGAGAGUUUGAUCCUGGCUCAGGAUUAACGCUAGCGGUAUGCCUAAUACAUGCAAGUCGAGCGAAUGUAGCAAUACAUUAGCGGCAAACGGGUGAGUAAUACGUAUCUAACCUACCCUUUAGAGGAGAAUAACCAGUCGAAAGACUGGCUAAUACUCCAUAGGAAAUUGUUUCGCAUGAAAUAAUUUUUAAAGUUCCGUUUGGAACACUUUAGGAUGGGGGUGCGGCUUAUCAGAUAGUUGGUGAGGUAACGGCCCACCAAGUCAAUGACGAGUAGCUAUGCUGAGAGGUAGAAUAGCCACAAUGGGACUGAGACACGGCCCAUACUCCUACGGGAGGCAGCAGUAGGGAAUUUUUCACAAUGGGCGCAAGCCUGAUGGAGCAAUACCGCGUGGAUGAUGAAGGUCUUUGGAUCGUAAAAUCCUUUUAUUAGGGACGAAUCACAACAGUAGGAAAUGAUUGUUGUUUGACUGUACCUGAUGAAUAAGUAACGGCAAACUAUGUGCCAGCAGCCGCGGUAAUACAUAGGUUACAAGCGUUAUCCGGAUUUACUGGGCGUAAAGCGAGCGCGGGCUGGCUUACAAGUCUGAUGUGAAAUGCAGUUGCUCAACAACUGUAUGCAUUGGAAACUGUAAGUCUAGAGUGUAAUAGAGAGUUCUGGAACUCCAUGUGGAGCGGUGGAAUGCGUAGAUAUAUGGAAGAACACCAGAGGCGAAGGCGAGAACUUAGGUUAACACUGACGCUUAGGCUCGAAAGUGUGGGGAGCAAAUAGGAUUAGAUACCCUAGUAGUCCACACCGUAAACGAUGAUCAUUAGAUGUUGGCAUUUACAUGUCAGCGUCGUAGCUAACGCAUUAAAUGAUCCGCCUGGGUAGUACAUUCGCAAGAAUGAAACUCAAACGGAAUUGACGGGGACCCGCACAAGUGGUGGAGCAUGUUGUUUAAUUCGACAGUACACGCAAAACCUUACCAGGGUUUGACAUGUUGAGCAAUGUUAUAGAAAUAUAACGGAGGCUAACUCAAACACAGGUGGUGCAUGGUUGUCGUCAGCUCGUGUCGUGAGAUGUUGGGUUAAGUCCCGCAACGAGCGCAACCCUUAUCGUUAGUUACUUUAUCUAGCGAGACUGCUAACGCAAGUUAGAGGAAGGUGGGGAUGACGUCAAAUCAUCAUGCCCUUUAUACCCUGGGCUACAAACGUGCUACAAUGGUCGGUACAAACUGUUGCGAAAUCGUAAGAUCAAGCUAAUCAGAAAAAGCCGAUCUCAGUUCGGAUCGAGGGCUGCAAUUCGUCCUCGUGAAGUUGGAAUCACUAGUAAUCGCGAAUCAGACAUGUCGCGGUGAAUACGUUCUCGGGUCUUGUACACACCGCCCGUCAAACUAUGAGAGCCGCUAAUACCUAAAACCGUUUUUCUAACUCGUAAGAGAUGUAAACGUCUAGGGUAGGAGUGGUGAUUGGAGUUAAGUCGUAACAAGGUACCCCUACGAGAACGUGGGGGUGGAUAACCUCCUUU
rnacentral:rRNA from 1 species